CCCAGCUCAGUCGCUAGAGCAUGAGACUUGUAAUCUCAGGGUUGUGAAUUUGAGCCUCACAUUAGGCA